UCCUGGCUCAGGACGAACGCUGCCGGCGUGCCUAAUACAUGCAAGUCGAGCGGACCGACGGGAGCUUGCUCCCUUAGGUCAGCGGCGGACGGGUGAGUAACACGUGGGUAACCUGCCUGUAAGACUGGGAUAACUCCGGGAAACCGGGGCUAAUACCGGAUGCUUGAUUGAACCGCAUGGUUCAAUCAUAAAAGGUGGCUUUAGCUACCACUUACAGAUGGACCCGCGGCGCAUUAGCUAGUUGGUGAGGUAACGGCUCACCAAGGCGAUGAUGCGUAGCCGACCUGAGAGGGUGAUCGGCCACACUGGGACUGAGACACGGCCCAGACUCCUACGGGAGGCAGCAGUAGGGAAUCUUCCGCAAUGGACGAAAGUCUGACGGAGCAACGCCGCGUGAGUGAUGAAGGUUUUCGGAUCGUAAAACUCUGUUGUUAGGGAAGAACAAGUACCGUUCGAAUAGGGCGGUACCUU
rnacentral:rRNA from 1 species